rnacentral:lncRNA from 10 species
GCCAAUAUGGUGAAACCCCAUCUCUACUAAAAUACAAAAAUUAGCUGGGCAUGGUGGUGUACACCUGUAAUCCCAGCUACUUGGGAGGCUGAGGCAAGAGAAUCGCUUGAACCUGGGAGGUGGAGGUUGCAGUGAGCUGAGAUCGCGCCACUGCAUGCUAGCCUGGGCGACGGAGAGAGACUCUGUCUCAAAAAAAAAAAAAAAAAAGAUUUGUAAACUAAAUUCAUUGUAAUUUUGUCUUUUGACAGUUCUGGCAACUGACAAAGGGACCUAAAGGACACUGCUGAUGACUUCUGAGACUCCCGGAGGAAUAUCAGAGAGGUGCCACAGAGCCACAGAUGCCUUUUGAGGUCCUCGGUCUUCCUCAUGGAGCCUCAAGGGUUAUAGAGUCUCCCUCUGUUGCCCAGGCUAAAGAACUCAG